UGGGGAAUAUUGGACAAUGGGGGCAACCCUGAUCCAGCCAUGCCGCGUGAGUGAUGAAGGCCCUAGGGUUGUAAAGCUCUUUCAGCGAGGAGGAUAAUGACGUUACUCGCAGAAGAAGCCCCGGCUAACUUCGUG
rnacentral:rRNA from 1 species